AGGCCCCGCACCCGUCCGCUUUCUCCUCCAGCGAAUCGAGCGGGCAGCGAGCGACAGCAAAAGGAACGCUCCCCACGCGCAUGAACCCUAGCCGCCGCUCUCCUCUCCCAUGACCCGCAACCACCACCGCUCCUCUCUCCUCUGCCUCGACUCCCAACCAUCCAACCCAAACUCCGGCGGCCUCCUAUCCCUCCAGCGCCGCCGCUCCAGCCACACCUUCCUUCCUCUCCAAAGGAAGGGAAGGGAAGUGAAGGGGAGGGGAGGCCCCAGAUCGAGCGGAGCGACGCCCAGAUCCGCAGCGGCACCGGCACCAGCGCGCCGUCGUCCACCUGGUCCUCGAGGAAGGCCAUGGAUGGGGGCAGAACCCUAGCCCCACACCCAUCCAUCACGGCGGUGGCCUUCUCUCGGUGGGGUGGGGAGCGAAGUUUUCUGAUGUGGUGGCCCUCGACGCCUGCGACGGGCUGCAGCACCUUGGCUUCAAAGGUAGGCCAUCACAAUGGAAACAGAAGGAUGAGCACCAUGGCGGGCGUGCAGGUGCAGGCCAUCGCCAUCGCCAAGUCCCCUAGAUUGACAAGCGGACGGCCGGAUCCAAGACCAAGCACCCCGGUGGGCUUCCUGCUCAGGCUCCUCAACGCCACGACGGCUGCGGGAUCCACGACCAUGGCUGCACGAGCGCCCAGAUGCAGGGCGGUUCCGAACCCAAAGCGCAGUUUGCAGGCAGUACGAGGGCAGUUCAUGAAUAUACUUGUGCGCUUUUACUCUCAGGCAAAUCACUAAUCAUUCAAAAGGCUUAUUAGUGUUGAUUUUGGAAAGUUAUUGGGAUACACAAGAACUAGCAAUACCACAUAAAAAAGAGUGUGGAAUUGGACAUUUUUAAAUCUGGAUAGUUGUUGUAGUGCCUGAUUAUGCCAACAAGAAGAAAAAAAUAGCAGAAUAAUUGUUUGUAGGGAUACUUAGAUCUUUCUGCUAUCAUGGUUAUCAAAAUAGGAUUUUUUUUAACGUACACUAUAUAGUACAAAAGGUUGUUUAUCAUAUACUGCAAAUCAUUAGUUUUACGCCAGUCUAUUACAUCAGUCUUAUCUUGAUUGAUAGGAAUUCAACAUAUUGAACCUUCAAGAUGGCUUGAAAUGGGCCUGGACAAUGUUUUGUUGACCAGCAAGGUUAUGUUUCCUCUGAUUGGCUUGCUUGAUUAGGUCUUUGUACAUAUUCCAUGAACUCCUGCGUUUGUGCCGUCAGGUUGGCUGUCUAUAAUUUUUGGGGUUCGCCUGACAUACGGUCGUCAUCGCCUUGCCGUGGCUCCACCAAGCGAUCUUUCCUCGCCAAUGCAGUCAGCUGGGCGAUACUGAUGGAUUGAUUUGAAUUUGGAUGAUUCUAUUGAGUCGGUGUGCAACAAUGCAAAUCAGAUUCAUCAUCUACAAGAGUCGGUGUGCAACAAUGCAAAUCAGAUUCAUCAUCUACAAGAGUCGGUGUCCAACCAUGUCCUCCUAUAGAGCUCAUGUUCCUAUGCUUGCGUAGAAGAUUAUGAUAUGGAAGUACUCUUGACUUUCCAUGAUUUUGGUACUGGAUUAUUGGUCACACAUAUGAGAGUUGUGAACCGGGGACGAUCAUGUAUUUCAUAAGCGAGCAAGGGUUCUGGGUACCUGCAUGAUUAAGGAAGAAAUUGGUUAUUACUAAAUGUACUAUUGCAUAUCAAAGGAGAACCAGGAGGGAGUGCAAUAUCCUUAUUAGUUGUACUCAGGGAUGCAAAAUCUUCACCUGAUGAUUCCACCCCUUUUUACAUGACACUAGCUGCUGCACAGUCAAAAGUGUCUCGCAGAUGCUCUUUAUGACACCAACUGACAGAUUAAUGAGUGCACUCAUAGAGAACAUAACAAGGUACAUAUUGAAGGAUGUUCUGAGGCUAGCACCUGGUUUAGAAGUUUUGCAAUUCACAGCAAUACCUCAUAAUUUUGAUUUGAUGUCCAGAAUGUCAAUUGAAGAAUGAGCCUACAAACUACAUUGUAGUUUGUAAUAUAUCCUUAUAUAUGGUGCUUGUGUUUUUUUUUCAAUUAUAAGUUUACAUUUAUGGGUAUUACAAAGUCCCCCUUUCUUUUUCCACAAGGGGCAGUAGCUGUGCCAUUCGAUUCGAAGGACAAAGAGUUGAUCACAACGGGGUAGCAUUCAGGAUAUAUACACAAGAGUAUAGAACCAAAUUAUAUGAUGUAAUUGACCACUAUUUCUAUUAACUUUUCUUGUACACAAUGUUACAAGUUCAUGUAUUAGAUACAUUUUAUUGUUUACUCUC